AUUGAACGCUGGCGGCAGGCCUAACACAUGCAAGUCGAACGAGUGGCGGACGGGUGAGUAAUGUCUGGGAAACUGCCUGAUGGAGGGGGAUAACUACUGGAAACGGUAGCUAAUACCGCAUACCAUCGGAUGUGCCCAGAUGGGUUUAGCUUGUAGGUGGGGUAACGGCUCACCUGGGCGACGAGCCCGAGCUGGUCUGAGAGGAUGACCGGCAACACGGGAACGGAGACACGGGCCAGACUCCUACGGAGGGCAGUAGGGGGGAAGAUUGCACAAGGGGGGCAAGCCGGAUGCAGACAUGCCGGGUGUAUGAAGAGGGCCUGCGGGUUGUAAAGUACUUUCAGCGGGGAGACGUUAACCGAAGAAGAAGCACCGGCUAACUCCGUGCCAGCAGCCGCGGUAAUU
rnacentral:rRNA from 1 species